GAUGGUCCCAUAUAACACUCAAAUGCAAGUGUGCCAGCUAGGACCGUCCAACAUGAUGUCAGAAAUGUUCAGCGACCCCAAGGAGGAGGAAGAACUUUCUAUUACGCAGAAGAAGUGGAUCAUUAUGCAGACUUCUUCUGGACCCCGGCGAGUCCGGGUCACCAAUAAAAUUCAUUACUCAUACUGAACUUCUGAAGAAACACCACGAGUGCUGAGUUCCAGCUUCACCUGCUGUGAUGUCAGAUCUCUCAGUUGUUUUUGACUUUUAAAGACCCAUUAAAGAGUGAAGGGAUUGUGUCUGUGUUAUUCCAUGGUGUCUGUGGGACCUCGUAUCAUUUACAUUAAGUAGUAAUUUACUGUCAUGCUACUUAAUAAUGUAUACAUGUUUCUUUAUUAAUAGGUUUUAUAAUAACUCUAUUCAGAAUCUUUCUGGUAAUG